UUUCCGUAGGUGAACCUGCGGAAGGAUCAUUAUUGAAUAAACCUGAUGUGGUUGUAGCUGGCCCUUUCGGGAGCAUGUGCACGCCCGUCGUCUUUAUCUUUCCACCUGUGCACCUUUUGUAGACCUGGAUGUAACACUUUCCGAGGCAACUCGGUCGGGAGGAAUGCUGUCAGCUUUCCUUGAAUGUCCAGGCCUAUGUUUUCAUAUACCCCAAAGAAUGUAACAGAAUGUAUUAUUGGGCCUUGUGCCUAUAAACUAUAUACAACUUUCAGCAACGGAUCUCUUGGCUCUC
rnacentral:misc_RNA from 1 species